ACAGCUCGCCACCAGCCACUGCCGCACUCAGCGGGCAACCCGCUGCCACCCGCCACCACCAAAUCGCCGCCGCACGCCCACCACCACACUCGGCGAGCGAUCCAGGGGGGAUCACCGCCACCCGCCACCGCCAAAUCACCGCCGCACGCCCUCGGGCCGCCGCACUCGGCGGGCGACCCGCCACCGCCAAAUUGCCGCCUCCGCCGGUGAUCUGCUGCCUGGGGGGCGCCGCCGCACCCUCACAGGAGUAUUCAUUCAUCAUUCCAUUCUCAAGCAUUAUUAGAAAAAUGAGAGGCAUUUUCUAGGUCCCUGUGGGGGAAAAUCAUCUGAGCAACUUAAUUUCCUGUGAUGAACCAAUUGUUGGAGUCAUAAAAAUCCUGAAGAUGUUGGCAUAUUGUGGGGAAGAGUAACUUCCUGUGGCAAGGUAUGACCUGUGAGCAAUCCAUCACAACAUGCUCACCAAUUAUGUGGUCUGAAGCAGAUCAUAGGUCAAGAUAAGGCUGAACAUGUUUUAAGAUUUAC